UCAAAUUCCAUUUCUGCUAAGCCUAAGAUGUGUGCCGUUUUGCUCUUCAUUUCUCUCUUUCAACACAAACGCUACUCUCUUCUUCUAUUUCCUUUCAUGGCCGAUUGCAACCCUUAGCCACCAUGGCCGGCGAUUGAAGGAAUCAUAAAAACGAUUCAAACGAUUACAACACGAACCCCCUCAACUAUCUAACUCGACUGAAAACCAAAACCCACAACUCCAUGCUCCUUACUCCGGCGAUGAAACCAAAUUAAGGUCUCUCGAACAAAUCUCAAGGAUUCAGUCUUAAGCUACGGUGGUUCAACACGCUCUCGUGAUGACCCAUGGUGGCUUGGUGGAAGCUGGAAGCUGUCGGUUUGGUGCUCUGUGGCUGAGAUUUGUAAAGCCUGUAAUAAAUAAAAAUAAACAAUAUUAAUAAUAUAAUAAUAAUAAUUAUUAUAUCCGGACAAAACGGGUGUCAACAAAGCAUAUCA